rnacentral:rRNA from 1 species
UACAGAGGUCUCAAGCGUUGUUCGGAUUCAUUGGGCGUAAAGGGUGCGUAGGUGGCGCCGUAAGUCAGGUGUGAAAUCUCGGGGCUCAACCCCGAAACUGCACUUGAUACUGCGGUGCUCGAGUACUGGAGAGGAGAUUGGAAUUUAUGGUGUAGCAGUGAAAUGCGUAGAUAUCGUAAGGAAGACCAGUGGCGAAGGCGAAUCUCUGGACAGUUACUGACACUGAGGCACGAAGGCCAGGGGAGCAAACGGG